rnacentral:rRNA from 1 species
GACGAACGCUGGCGGCGUGCUUAACACAUGCAAGUCGAGCGGUAAGGCCCUUUCGGGGGUACACGAGCGGCGAACGGGUGAGUAACACGUGGGUGACCUGCCCUCAGCUCUGGGAUAAGCCUGGGAAACCGGGUCUAAUACUGGAUAUGACUCCAUGACGCAUGUUGUGGGGUGGAAAGCCUUGUGCGGCUGAGGAUGGGCCCGCGGCCUAUCAGCUUGUUGGUGGGGUGAGGCCUACCAAGGCGACGACGGGUAGCCGGCCUGAGAGGGCGACCGGCCACACUGGGACUGAGACACGGCCCAGACUCCUACGGGAGGCAGCAGUGGGGAAUCUUGCGCAAUGGGCGAGAGCCUGACGCAGCGACGCCGCG